UAAUAGACAUGCUACCAUCCUCAACUAACUGAUUUGUAAACCAUGAUAUCAUGACUAGCACUAUUUUUUUGUAUAUCACUAGUGCUGUCACUUUUUUAAAACUCCGGGGGCAACUUAACUUUAAGUUAAUUGUCAAGCUUUUUAUUUUAAUUUUAUUGUGUAUGUGGAGAGUCCCAGUUUUGUGCUAGGACAUUUUUAAUUUUAUAUUGACAACUAAUAUAUACUGAAAAGUGGAAACUGCAUGAUUUGGGAUUUAUUUAAGGUCAAUUUAUUUUUUUCCAUCAUGGCUUAUAUUGAAUAUUAUUAGAUGAGAUUGUGCAAAAUUUUGGGAUUUACGUAUUACAUUUUUACACUGCCUUUGCUCCAAUUAUGUGGUGUCAGGAGGCUUUAUCUCUUGACUCUCGUCAGUUCAUCAGUCAUCAUUAGGGAGAAAAAUGAAAUUUCUCAAAAUGAUGUAGAGGUUUGUUUUUUGUAAUAUAUAAAUAAUAUACGUGUACUCUAGGAUUAUUGAUGAUUAAGAUUCAUUGGUGGGUUAGCUGAUGUCUAAUUUUUUUUCUUUCUUCACUGUUUUAGGAAUUGGAUUUAGCUUAAGAAGAAGAAUAAACUCAUUCAUCAGUGGUUGCUCUCAUGUGUGUGUGUGUCUCUGUGUAUGUGUAUGUACAUACAUGUAAGCUAGGAGCCAGUCUUGUGUUUUAAUUCCUUCCAUUGUCUUUCAGAACUUAUUAGUAUUAAUAUAUAUUUUAUGAGUUCCAUUUUAUAUUGGUAAUCUUACAUAUACUUUCUUUUAUUUAUUUUUUUGUAUGUUUUGCUGGUCUGCCGUCUAUAAAUUCAGAUGAUCUACCUUUAUGGGGUAUGCCUUGAACACCCUUUCCUUUUAUCACCUAUGUUUCAAAAAAGUUUUCUCAUCAUUCGACCAAAUUUUUUAAUUAACAUAUAUUGUUUUUGCAGGUUUUGUGGGUGAGCUGCACUCUGACAAGAAUAAUGAUAAUAAGCAUGUGCUCUACACACAUAAGAGUAUAACUGUGAAUUACAACAAAGAUCAAGUGUGUGCCUGUUUAUAUG
rnacentral:lncRNA from 1 species